rnacentral:lncRNA from 1 species
AUUGCCGGGUGGCGAAACUCGGGUGGAUUUUUUCGCAACGAACGCAUGAAAUCUAUAUAAUUAUACCCUAGAACAUGUUUGGGAGUGUUUUUGAGCAUUCGGUUCCGGAACGAAAAAUGAUGCAAAACGGGUGCAUUUCGGCACCCGAAUGCACUAUUGCCGGGUAGCGAAACUCGGGUGGAUUUUUUCGCAACGAACGCAUGCAAUCUUCAUAAUUAUACCCUAGAACAUGUUUGGGUGUGUUUUUGAGCAUUCGGUUCCGGAACGAAAAAUGAUGCAAUACGGGUGCAUUUCGGUACCCGAAUGCAUAUUGCCGGGUAGCGAAACUCGGGUGGAUUUUUUCGCAACGAACGCAUGCAAUCUUCUUAAUUAUACCCUAGAACAUGUUUGGGAGUGUUUUUGAGCAUUCGGUUCCGGAACGAAAAAUGAUGCAAAACAGGUGCAUUUCGGCACUUGAUUGCAUAUUGCCGGGUAGCGAAACUCGGGUGGAUUUUUUCGCAACGAACGCAUGCAAUCUUCGUAAUUAUACCCUACAACAUGUUUGGGAGUGUUUUUGAGCAUUCGGUUCCGGAACGAAAAAUGAUGCAAAACGGGUGCAUUUCGGCACCCGAAUGCACUAUUGCCGGGUAGCGAAACUCGGGUGGAUUUUUUCGCAACGAACGCAUGCAAUCUUCAUAAUUAUACCCUAGAACAUGUUUGGGUGUGUUUUUGAGCAUUCGGUUCCGGAACGAAAAAUGAUGCAAUACGGGUGCAUUUCGGUACCCGAAUGCAUAUUGCCGGGGGUAGCGAAACUCGGGUGGAUUUUUUCGCAACAAACGCAUGCAAUCUUCAUAAUUAUACCCUAGAACAUGUUUGGGAGUGUUUUUGAGCAUUCGGUUCCGGAACGAAAAAUGAUGCAAAACGGGUGCAUUUCGGCACUUGAUUGCAUAUUGCCGGGUAGCGAAACUCGGGUGGAUUUUUUCGCAACGAACGCAUGCAAUCUAUAUAAUUAUACCCUAGAACAUGUUUGGGAGUGUUUUUGAGCAUUCGGUUCCGGAACGAAAAAUGAUGCAAAACGGGUGCAUUUCGGCACCCGAAUGCACUAUUGCCGGGUAGCGAAACUCGGGUGGAUUUUUUCGCAACGAACGCAUGAAAUCUAUAUAAUUAUACCCUAGAACAUGUUUGGGAGUGUUUUUGAGCAUUCGGUUCCGGAACGAAAAAUGAUGCAAAACGGGUGCAUUUCGGCACCCGAAUGCAUAUUGCCGGGUAGCGAAACUCGGGUGGAUUUUUUCGCAACGAACGCAUGCAAUCUUCGUAAUUAUACCCUACAACAUGUUUGGGAGUGUUUUUGAGCAUUCGGUUCCGGAACGAAAAAUGAUGCAAAACGGGUGCAUUUCGGCACCCGAAUGCACUAUUGCCGGGUAGCGAAGCUCGGGUGGAUUUUUUCGCAACGAACGCAUGCAAUAUUCCUAAUUAUACCCUAGAACAUGUUUGGGAGUGUUUUUGAGCAUUCGGUUCCGGAACGAAAAAUGAUGCAAAACGGGUGCAUUUCGGCACCCGAAUGCAUAUUGCCGGGUAGCGAAACUCGGGUGGAUUUUUUCGCAACGAACGCAUGCAAUCUUCCUAAUUAUACCCUAAAACAUGUUUGGGAGUUUUUUUGAGCAUUCGGUUCCGGAACGAAAAAUGAUGCAAACGGGUGCAUUUGGGCACCCGAAUGCAUAUUGCCGGGUAGCGAAACUCGGGUGGAUUUUUUCGCAACGAACGCAUGCAAUCUUCAUAAUUAUACCCUAGAACAUGUUUGGGAGUGUUUUUGAGCAUUCGGUUCCGGAACGAAAAAUGAUGCAAAACGGGUACAUUUCGGCACCCGAAUGCAUAUUGCCGGGUAGCGAAACUCGGGUGGAUUUUUUCGCAACGAACGCAUGCAAUCUUCGUAAUUAUACCCUACAACAUGUUUGGGAGUGUUUUUGAGCAUUCGGUUCCGGAACGAAAAAUGAUGCAAAACGGGUGCAUUUCGGCACCCGAAUGCACUAUUGCCGGGUAGCGAAACUCGGGUGGAUUUUUUCGCAACGAACGCAUGCAAUAUUCCUAAUUAUACCCUAGAACAUGUUUGGGAGUGUUUUUGAGCAUUCGGUUCCGGAACGAAAAAUGAUGCAAAACGGGUGCAUUUCGGCACCCGAAUGCAUAUUGCCGGGUAGCGAAACUCGGGUGGAUUUUUUCGCAACGAACGCAUGCAAUCUUCCUAAUUAUACCCUAAAACAUGUUUGGGAGUUUUUUUGAGCAUUCGGUUCCGGAACGAAAAAUGAUGCAAAACGGGUGCAUUUGGGCACCCGAAUGCAUAUUGCCGGGUAGCGAAACUCGGGUGGAUUUUUUCGCAACGAACGCAUGCAAUCUUCAUAAUUAUACCCUAGAACAUGUUUGGGAGUGUUUUUGAGCAUUCGGUUCCGGAACGAAAAAUGAUGCAAAACGGGUACAUUUCGGCACCCGAUUGCAUAUUGCCGGGUAGCGAAACUCGGGUGGAUUUUUUCGCAACGAACGCAUGCAAUUUUCAUAAUUAUACCCUAGAACAUGUUUGGGAGUGUUUUUGAGCAUUCGGUUCCGGAACAAAAAAUGAUGCAAAACGGGUGCAUUUCGGCACACGAAUACAUAUUGCCGGGUAGCGAAACUCGGGAGGAUUUUUUCGCAACGAACGCAUGCAAUCUUCCUAAUUAUACCCUAGAACAUCUUUGGGAGUGUUUUUGAGCAUUCGGUUCCAGAACGAAAAAUGAUGCAAAACGGGUGCAUUUCGGCAUCCGAAUGCACUAUUGCCGGGUAGCGAAACUCGGGUGGAUUUUUUUGCAACGAACGCAUGCAAUCUUCAUAAUUAUACCCUAGAACAUGUUUGGGAGUGUUUUUGAGCAUUCGGUUCCGGAACAAAAAAUGAUGCAAAACGGGUGCAUUUCGGCACUUGAUUGCAUAUUGCCGGGUAGCGAAACUCGGGUGGAUUUUUUCGCAACAUACGCAUGCAAUCUUCAUAAUUAUACCCUAGAACAUGUUUGGGAGUGUUUUUGAGCAUUCGGUUCCGGAACGAAAAAUGAUGCAAAACGGGUGCAUUUCGGCACUUGAUUGCAUAUUGCCGGGUAGCGAAACUCGGGUGGAUUUUUUCGCAACGAACGCAUGCAAUCUUCGUAAUUAUACCCUACAACAUGUUUGGGAGUGUUUUUGAGCAUUCGGUUCCGGAACGAAAAAUGAUGCAAAACGGGUGCAUUUCGGCACCCGAAUGCACUAUUGCCGGGUAGCGAAACUCGGGUGGAUUUUUUCACAACGAACGCAUGCAAUCUUCAUAAUUAUACCCUAGAACAUGUUUGGGUGUGUUUUUGAACAUUCGGUUCCGGAACGAAAAAUGAUGCAAUACGGGUGCAUUUCGGUACCCGAAUGCAUAUUGCCGGUUAGCGAAACUCGGGUGGAUUUUUUCGCAACAAACGCAUGCAAUCUUCAUAAUUAUACCCUAGAACAUGUUUGGGAGUGUUUUUGAGCAUUCGGUUCCGGAACGAAAAAUGAUGCAAAACGGGUGCAUUUCGGCACUUGAUUGCAUAUUGCCGGGUAGCGAAACUCGGGUGGAUUUUUUCGCAACGAACGCAUGCAAUCUAUUUAAUUAUACCCUAGAACAUGUUUGGGAGUGUUUUUGAGCAUUCGGUUCCAGAACGAAAAAUGAUGCAAAACGGGUGCAUUUCGGCACCCGAAUGCACUAUUGCCGGGUAGCGAAACUCGGGUGGAUUUUUUCGCAACGAACGCAUGAAAUCUAUAUAAUUAUACCCUAGAACAUGUUUGGGAGUGUUUUUGAGCAUUCGGUUCCCGAACGAAAAAUGAUGCAAAACGGGUGCAUUUCGGCACCCGAAUGCAUAUUGCCGGGUAGCGAAACUCGGGUGGAUUUUUUCGCAACGAACGCAUGCAAUCUUCGUAAUUAUACCCUACAACAUGUUUGGGAGUGUUUUUGAGCAUUCGGUUCCGGAACGAAAAAUGAUGCAAAACGGGUGCAUUUCGGCACCCGAAUGCACUAUUGCCGGGUAGCGAAACUCGGGUGGAUUUUUUCGCAACGAACGCAUGCAAUAUUCCUAAUUAUACCCUAGAACAUGUUUGGGAGUGUUUUUGAGCAUUCGGUUCCGGAACGAAAAAUGAUGCAAAACGGGUGCAUUUCGGCACCCGAAUGCAUAUUGCCGGGUAGCGAAACUCGGGUGGAUUUUUUCGCAACGAACGCAUGCAAUCUUCCUAAUUAUACCCUAAAACAUGUUUGGGAGUUUUUUUGAGCAUUCGGUUCCGGAACGAAAAAUGAUGCAAAACGGGUGCAUUUGGGCACCCGAAUGCAUAUUGCCGGGUAGCGAAACUCGGGUGGAUUUUUUCGCAACGAACGCAUGCAAUCUUCAUAAUUAUACCCUAGAACAUGUUUGGGAGUGUUUUUGAGCAUUCGGUUCCGGAACGAAAAAUGAUGCAAAACGGGUACAUUUCGGCACCCGAUUGCAUAUUGCCGGGUAGCGAAACUCGGGUGGAUUUUUUCGCAACGAACGCAUGCAAUUUUCAUAAUUAUACCCUAGAACAUGUUUGGGAGUGUUUUUGAGCAUUCGGUUCCGGAACAAAAAAUGAUGCAAAACGGGUGCAUUUCGGCACACGAAUACAUAUUGCCGGGUAGCGAAACUCGGGAGGAUUUUUUCGCAACGAACGCAUGCAAUCUUCCUAAUUAUACCCUAGAACAUCUUUGGGAGUGUUUUUGAGCAUUCGGUUCCAGAACGAAAAAUGAUGCAAAACGGGUGCAUUUCGGUACCCGAAUGCAUAUUGCCGGGUAGCGAAACUCGGGUGGAUUUUUUCGCAACGAACACAUGCAAUCUUCCUAAUUAUACCCUAAAACAUGUUUGGGAGUGUUUUUGAGCAUUCGGUUCCGGAACGAAAAAUGAUGCAAAACGGGUGCAUUUCGGCACCCGAAUGCACUAUUGCCGGGUAGCGAAACUCGGGUGGAUUUUUUCGCAACGAACGCAUGCAAUCUUCCUAAUUAUACCCUAAAACAUGUUUGGGAGUGUUUUUGAGCAUUCGGUUCCGGAACGAAAAAUGAUGCAAAACGGGUGCAUUUCGGCAUCCGAAUGCACUAUUGCCGGGUAGCGAAACUCGGGUGGAUUUUUUUGCAACGAACGCAUGCAAUCUUCAUAAUUAUACCCUAGAACAUGUUUGGGAGUGUUUUUGAGCAUUCGGUUCCGGAACGAAAAAUGAAGCAAUACGGGUGCAUUUCGGUACCCGAAUGCAUAUUGCCGGGUAGCGAAACUCGGGUGGAUUUUUUCGCAACGAACACAUGCAAUCUUCCUAAUUAUACCCUAAAACAUGUUUGGGAGUGUUUUUGAGCAUUCGGUUCCGGAACGAAAAAUGAUGCAAAACGGGUGCAUUUCGGCACCCGAAUGCACUAUUGCCGGGUAGCGAAACUCGGGUGGAUUUUUUCGCAACGAACGCAUGCAAUCUUCAUAAUUAUACCCUAGAACAUGUUUGGGAGUGUUUUUGAGCAUUCGGUUCCGGAACGAAAAAUGAUGCAAAACGGGUGCAUUUCGGCACCCGAAUGCACUAUUUCCGGGUAGCGAAACUCGGGUGGAUUUUUUCGCAACGAACGCAUGCAAUAUUCCUAAUUAUACCCUAGAACAUGUUUGGUAGUGUAUUUGAGCCUUCGGUUCCGGCACGAAAAUCGAUGCAAAACGGGUCCAUUUCGGCACCCGAAUUCACUAUUUUGAGGUAACGAAACUCGGGUGGAAUUUUUUCGCAACGGACGCGUGCAAUCUUUCUAAUUAGACCCUAGAACAUGUUUGGGAGUGUUUCUGAGCAUUCGGUUACAGCACGAAAAACGAUGCAAAACGGGUGCAUUUCGGCAGCCGAAUGCACUAUUUCCGGGUAGCGAAACUCGGGUGGAUUUUUUUGCAACGAACGCAUGCAAUCUUCAUAAUUAUACCCUAGAACAUGUUUGGGAGUGUUUUUGAGCAUUCGGUUCCGGAACGAAAAAUGAAGCAAUACGGGUGCAUUUCGGUACCCGAAUGCAUAUUGCCGGGUAGCGAAACUCGGGUGGAUUUUUUCGCAACGAACACAUGCAAUCUUCCUAAUUAUACCCUAAAACAUGUUUGGGAGUGUUUUUGAGCAUUCGGUUCCGGAACGAAAAAUGAUGCAAAACGGGUGCAUUUCGGCACCCGAAUGCACUAUUGCCGGGUAGCGAAACUCGGGUGGAUUUUUUCGCAACGAACGCAUGCAAUCUUCAUAAUUAUACCCUAGAACAUGUUUGGGAGUGUUUUUGAGCAUUCGGUUCCGGAACGAAAAAUGAAGCAAUACGGGUGCAUUUCGGUACCCGAAUGCAUAUUGCCGGGUAGCGAAACUCGGGUGGAUUUUUUCGCAACGAACGCAUGCAAUCUUCAUAAUUAUACCCUAGAACAUGUUUGGGAGUGUUUUUGAGCAUUCGGUUCCGGAACGAAAAAUGAAGCAAUACGGGUGCAUUUCGGUACCCAAAUGCAUAUUGCCGGGUAGCGAAACUCGGGAGGAUUUUUUCGCAACGAACGCAUGCAAUCUUCCUAAUUAUACCCUAGAACAUCUUGAUAUGAACCCGCUAGGGGCUGAUUCCCGAUCUUUCGACGAGAGAGGCGUGGAUAACUCGAUUGGUGGAUGGAGACGACGUUCACGGCCCGACUACAGCCUUCCAAGCUGCGCCUUAGCAACCGAUACACCACCUCCAAUGGCUGCCGCGAUCUUGUGGAGCGCGUCACCCGGCCACUAGGGCACUCGUCCUGCAAGCAAUCGAAGAACUAGCAAGAACAAGUAUAACAAGCAACUCAAUUGCAAAUAUGGAGAUGGAAACCAAUCUGAACUCACAAAGUUGGGGUUCCGAAUCGAGUAGAACGGAUGGUCUAGUCGACACACGCGUCUACAAGGAAGUAGCAAUGGCUAAACUUACAUCAAAACAAAACCCAAUCUGUUCGUGGUGGCUCUAAUCCUUAUUAAUACCUAGGAGGACGACCAGGGGGGUGUUGGGGUCGUGCUCCAACCCUAGGACACGUUCCUAAUGGACCCAACUUGAUACACGGCCCAUCGGGCCAAAAUAGGGCGACGCAGCACCUGUGGACAGAAAACCUCUCGGUAGUAUUUCGAUGAUUGCGGCCUCCUCAGAAUAGAUAUGGACAUGAGUCCGGAUCCAUAUGAAAAUAGACUUCAUAAGGAUUCCAAGGAGUACUUGAACGCCCAAAACGGAGUCCGGAUGAGGUCGUGGCGGUUGUUGCAAGUUGGGCCAGAACUGUAGUCCGAAUCCAGCACCAAAACGUGUUGGAUUGGAUCUCUUUCUUUCCUUGGGCCAAAAGUGACGUGGUGGCCUGGUGGAGGACGUUAGGAAUACUUGGACUCGGCCCCCAAUCUACUUCUUUGGUCCUCCAUGCCUUCCAUGUGUGUUUAACACUAUUUUUGAUCCAUGUAUGUAUUUCUGAAAUUGACAACGAAUACACAUCAUGGUGCAGCAUCAAUUCAUCAAAUGUAUCACAUAUAAUUAUGAUAAAGAAUUGCUUCACCUCGGAGUCAAAAGAUGCCAAUAUGGUUGUAUCCGAGCAUGUGAUGUCCUCAUCACAUGUUUGGGAGUGUUUUUGAGCAUUCGGUUCCGGAACGAAAAAUGAUGCAAAACGGGUGCAUUUCGGCAUCCGAAUGCACUAUUGCCGGGUAGCGAAACUCGGGUGGAUUUUUUUGCAACGAACGCAUGCAAUCUUCAUAAUUAUACCCUAGAACAUGUUUGGGAGUGUUUUUGAGCAUUCGGUUCCAGAACGAAAAAUGAUGCAAUACGGGUGCAUUUCGGUACCCGAAUGCAUAUUGCCGGGUAGCGAAACUCGGGUGGAUUUUUUCGCAACGAACGCAUGCAAUCUUCAUAAUUAUACCCUAGAACAUGUUUGGGAGUGUUUUUGAGCAUUCGGUUCCGGAACGAAAAAUGAUGCAAAACGGGUGCAUUUCGGCACCCGAUUGCAUAUUGCCGGGUAGCGAAACUCGGGUGGAUUUUUUCGCAACGAACGCAUGCAAUCUUCAUAAUUAUACCCUAGAACAUGUUUGGGAGUGUUUUUGAGCAUUCGGUUCCGGAACAAAAAAUGAUGCAAAACGGGUGCAUUUCGGCACCCGAAUACAUAUUGCCGGGUAGCGAAACUCGGGAGGAUUUUUUCGCAAC